rnacentral:rRNA from 1 species
GACGUAGGAUGCAAGUGUUAUCCGGAAUCACUGGGCGUAAAGCGUCUGUAGGUGGUUUAAUAAGUCCACUGUUAAAUCUUGAGGCUCAACCUCAAAAUCGCAGUCGAAACUAUUAGACUAGAGUAUAGUAGGGGUAAAGGGAAUUUCCAGUGGAGCGGUGAAAUGCGUAGAGAUUGGAAAGAACACCGAUGGCGAAGGCACUUUACUGGGCUAUUACUAACACUCAGAGACGAAAGCUAGGGUAGCAAAUGGG